UGAGUAACCUGCCCUUAACUCUGGGAUAAGCCUGGGAAACUGGGUCUAAUACCGGAUAUGACUCCUCAUCGCAUGGUGGGGGGUGGAAAGCUUUAUUGUGGUUUUGGAUGGACUCGCGGCCUAUUAGCUUGUUGGUGAGGUAAUGGCUCACCAAGGCGACGACGGGUAGCCGGCCUGAGAGGGCGAUCGGCCACAUUGGAACUGAGACACGGUCCAGACUCCUACGGGAGGCGG
rnacentral:rRNA from 1 species